GACGAACGCUGGCGGCGUGCUUAACACAUGCAAGUCGAACGGAAAGGCCCUGCUUUUGUGGGGUGCUCGAGUGGCGAACGGAUGAGUAACACGUGAGUAACCUGCCCUUGACUUUGGGAUAACUUCAGGAAACUGGGGCUAAUACCGGAUAGGAGCUCCUGCUGCAUGGUGGGGGUUGGAAAGUUUCGGCGGUUGGGGAUGGACUCGCGGCUUAUCAGCUUGUUGGUGGGGUAGUGGCUUACCAAGGCUUUGACGGGUAGCCGGCCUGAGAGGGUGACCGGCCACAUUGGGACUGAGAUGCGGCCCAGACUCCUACGGGAGGCAGCAGUGGGGAAUAUUGCACAAUGGGCGGAAGCCUGAUGCAGCAACGCCGCGUGCGGGAUGACGGCCUUCGGGUUGUAAACCGCUUUCGCCUGUGACGAAGCGUGAGUGACGGUAAUGGGUAAAGAAGCACCGGCUAACUACGUG
rnacentral:rRNA from 1 species